rnacentral:rRNA from 1 species
UACGUAGGGUGCGAGCGUUGUCCGGAAUUAUUGGGCGUAAAGGGCUCGUAGGCGGUUUGUCGCGUCGGGAGUGAAAACCCAGGGCUUAACCCUGGGCUGGCUUCCGAUACGGGCAGACUAGAGGUAUGCAGGGGAGAACGGAAUUCCUGGUGUAGCGGUGAAAUGCGCAGAUAUCAGGAGGAACACCGGUGGCGACGGCGGUUCUCUGGGCAUUACCUGACGCUGAGGAGCGAAAGUGUGGGGAGCGAACAGG